AUGAACGCUGGCGGCGUGCCUAACACAUGCAAGUCGAACGGAGAUUACGGACGGAAGUUUUCGGAUGGAAGACUGUAAUUCUUAGUGGCGGACGGGUGAGUAACGCGUGGGCAACCUGCCCUAUACAGGGGGAUAGCAGCUGGAAACGGCUGGUAAGACCGCAUAAGUCGGCGAGACCGCAUGGUUUUGCCGGGAAAUGAGCAAUCAGGUAUAGGAUGGGCCCGCGUCCGAUUAGCCAGUUGGCAGGGUAAAAGCCUACCAAAGCAACGAUCGGUAGCCGGACUGAGAGGUCGGACGGCCACAUUGGGACUGAGACACGGCCCAAACUCCUACGGGAGGCAGCAGUGGGGGAUAUUGCACAAUGGAGGAAACUCUGAUGCAGCGACGCCGCGUGAGUGAAGAAGUAUUUCGGUAUGUAAAGCUCUAUCAGCAGGGAAGAUGAUGACGGUACCUGACUAAGAAGCCCCGGCUAACUACGUG
rnacentral:rRNA from 1 species